CCUACGGGUGGCAGCAGUAGGGAAUUUUGCGCAAUGGGCGAAAGCCUGACGCAGCAACACCGCGUGAAUGUUAAGCCCUUCGGGGUGUAAAGCUUUGUCAAUUGGGGCGAAUUUUUACUGUUCCCAUAAAGGCAGCCCCGGCUAACUACGUUCCAGCAGCCGCGGUAAUACGGAGGGUGCAAGCGUUGUCCGGAAUCAUUGGGCGUAAGGCGUUCGUAGGCGGGAAGGUAAGUCUGAUGUUAAAGCCAGGGGCUCAACUCCGUUUCGGCAGUGGAGACUAGCUAGCUGGAAUGUGGUAGAGGUAGAGGGAAUUCCUGGUGUAGCGGUGAAAUGCGUAGAUAUCAGGAGGAACAUCGGUGGCGAAGGCGGUUUACUGGACCAUAAUUGACGCUGAGGAACGAAAGCCAGGGGAGCAAAUGGGAUUAGAUACCCUGGUAGUC
rnacentral:rRNA from 1 species